UUUCCGUGGAUAUAUUUAAUAUGACAAUGAAGACUAACUCUCUACCAAUGAUAUAUUGCGAAGGGCAUGGAAAAGAACCCGAGAGAAUUGAAUAUUCCUAUUAAGCUGAGUGGACGCAAGCUCAUAGUGGGGAUGACAACCGCGGCAUAAGAACGACGCUUUCGCGAUACAGGUCGGUACUUUAACUGGAGCAAGCUUUCGCGAAACGCUAUUUGUAAAGGAUACUUUGAGUUCAAGUUGACAGAAAAUUGCGAAAAUGAUCACCCAAAAGGAACUCGAUUAUUGCUACGACUUCGUCCUGAAUCUCACUAUACUGUCCGGAAAGGUGAUCCGCGAUGCUUUUCAAGGAUCAAAGAAAAUCGAAACAAAGGCUGGUGAUUGGGAUUUGGUGACGCAGUACGAUAGAAAAAUCGAGGCGAUUUUAAUUGACAACCUGGCAAAGAGAUUUCCAACACACAAAUUUAUCGGCGAAGAAACAGUGUCGUGUUCGAAUUUUCUACCAGAACUCACGGACGCGCCAACGUGGAUCAUCGAUCCGAUCGAUGGCACAACAAACUUCGUGCAUUCUUUUCCACACACUUGCAUAUCGAUUGCGCUAGCUGUGGACAAAGAACUCGAGAUUGGAAUAGUUUACAAUCCCAUUUUGGAGCAGUUAUUCACAGCCAGAAGAGGUCACGGAGCAUUUCUCAAUGAAAAACCGAUUAAGAGCUCGAACGUGGAAGGACUCCAAAAUUCUUUGCUAUGCUUGGAGGCUUCGUACGCGACGAUGGAAAAUAUUCGCGACAUCAUCCUGGGAAGGCUGGAAGCUUUCGUCACGGUGGCGCACGGAAUAAGGACUAUGGGUUCAGCGGCGUUGACUCUGUGUCACGUGGCCAUGGGAGCUGCGGAAGGCUAUCACUCCGACAACCUGAUGCCUUGGGACGUGGCCGCGGGUGUUCUUAUCAUUCGGGAAGCCGGCGGCGUGGUGAUCGACACAAACGGCGGAGAGUUCGACGUUAUGUCACCGAAACUGCUGGCCGUCGGUAAUCGCAAACUGGCGAAGGACCUCGUGAAAUUGAUCAAACGCGCGGAUGUGAAAACCCAGCAAAGAAGGCUACUGCUGCAGACCGCGAAUUAAGCGUUUCCUGCGAGGUGUCAAGAUUUGCCAACUAUUUGCAGGAUUUCUAAUGUUAAUUAAAAUAAUUAAAAUAAUUGCAUGCAUGUUUGUGAUCGAAGUGUAAUGUUCUCGGUCGUGUCAUGACGCACUGAAAAUCGCGAUAAGUGCAAUGAAUAACAAAUCAGUGUGCCGAACAAGCAAAGGUCAUGCAUGGGAUUAAUAACGCUAAUUGUAAAAGCGCACGCAAGGCCGGGCUCAUAGGAGCACACCUUGCAGUUUGAGAGCAGCAGCGGACCUGGUUGAACCGGUAGUCCAGCGAUAUCAUGUCGAAAGUGCAUUAAGAAAUAACGCUCGCGUACAAUUGCCGGAGGCGCGCUGAGAUAAGAGGAGGUAAUCACGCGGUUUGCACGGCGAAUCAAUCAUUCGUACCGACGAGACCUUCAACAUCGGCUGUCAUGUCGAGCGA
rnacentral:misc_RNA from 1 species